UACGUAGGGUGCAAGCGUUGUCCGGAAUUAUUGGGCGUAAAGAGCUCGUAGGCGGUUUGUCGCGUCUGCUGUGAAAACCGGAGGCUCAACCUCCGGCCUGCAGUGGGUACGGGCAGACUAGAGUGCGGUAGGGGAGAUUGGAAUUCCUGGUGUAGCGGUGGAAUGCGCAGAUAUCAGGAGGAACACCGGUGGCGAAGGCGGAUCUCUGGGCCAUAACUGACGCUGAGGAGCGAAAGCAUGGGGAGCGAACAGG
rnacentral:rRNA from 1 species